AUACUUACCUGAAAGGAGAGAUACCAUGAUCACGAAGGUGGUUUGCCCAGGGCAAGGCUCAUCCAUUUCUCUCCGGAUGUACUGACCCUGAUGAUUUCCCCAAAUGUGGGAAACUUGAUUGUGUAAUUUGUGGUGGUGGGGAACUAUGUUUUCACUCUCCCCUA
ensembl:snRNA U1 U1 spliceosomal RNA